AAUCUCAUUAUUCCAGGGCUUUGUCAAAGACGUUCACGACGACUCGCUCUCCGUUUCGUUUGAAAAUAACUGGCAACCUGAAAGACAAGCUCCCUUCAGUGAUGUGCGGUUACCACCUCCUGCUGACGGCAAAACGGAGAUCACCGAAGGAGAAGAAGUGGAGAUUUACUCCCGAGCGAACGAGCAGGAGCCCUGCGGCUGGUGGCUGGCUAA